AGUGAACGCUGGCGGUAGGCCUAACACAUGCAAGUCGAACGGCCGCACAGGAGACCUUGCUCUCUGGGUUGCGCGUGGCGGGCGGGUGUGGAAUAUAUAGGACUCUGCUCAGUCGUGGGGGAUAACGCAGGGAAACUUACGCUAAUACCGCAUACGUCCUUCGGGUGAUAGUGGGGGAUUGCAAGACCUUUUGCGUUUGGAUGAUCGGUUGUCGCAUUAGCUAGUUGGUGGGGUAAUGGCUCACCAAGGCGACGAUCCGUAGCUGGUCUGAGAGGUUGAUCAGCCACACUGGAACUGAGACACGGUCCAGACUCCUACGGGAGGCAGCAGUGGGGAAUAUUGGGCAAUGGGCGCAAGCCUGAUGCAGCAAUACCGCGUGAGUGAAGAAGGCCUUCAGGUUGUAAAGCCCUUUUGUUGGGAAAGAAAUCUUUCAGGCUAAUACCCGGGGAGGAUGACGGUACCCAAAGAAUAAGCACCGGCUAACUUCGUG
rnacentral:rRNA from 1 species